rnacentral:rRNA from 1 species
GACGAACGCUGGCGGCGUGCUUAACACAUGCAAGUCGAACGGAAAGGCCCUGCUUUUGUGGGGUGCUCGAGUGGCGAACGGGUGAGUAACACGUGAGUAACCUGCCCUUGACUUUGGGAUAACUUCAGGAAACUGGGGCUAAUACCGGAUAGGAGCUCCUGCUGCAUGGUGGGGGUUGGAAAGUUUCGGCGGUUGGGGAUGGACUCGCGGCUUAUCAGCUUGUUGGUGGGGUAGUGGCGUACCAAGGCUUUGACGGGUAGCCGGCCUGAGAGGGUGACCGGCCACAUUGGGACUGAGAUACGGCCCAGACUCCUACGGGAGGAAGGAGUGGAGAAUAUUGCACAAUGGGCGGAAGACUGAUGCAGCAACGCCGCGUGCGGGAUGCCGGCCUUCGGGUUGUAAACCGCUUUCGCCUGUGACGAAGCGUGAGUGACGGUAAUGGGUAAAGAAGCACCGGCUAACUACG